rnacentral:rRNA from 1 species
GACGAACGCUGGCGGCGUGCUUAACACAUGCAAGUCGAACGGAAAGGCCCUGCUUUUGUGGGGUGCUCGAGUGGCGAACGGGUGAGUAACACGUGAGUAACCUGCCCUUGACUUUGGGAUAACUUCAGGAAACUGGGGCUAAUACCGGAUAGGAGCUCCUGCUGCAUGGUGGGGGUUGGAAAGUUUCGGCGGUUGGGGAUGGACUCGCGGCUUAUCAGCUUGUUGGUGGGGUAGUGGCUUACCAAGGCUUUGACGGGUAGCCGGCCUGAGAGGGUGACCGGCGACAUGGGGACUGCGAUACGGCCCAGACUCCUACGGGAGGCAGCAGUGGGGAAUAUUGCACAAUGGGCGGAAGCCUGAUGCAGCAACGCCGCGUGCGGGAUGACGGCCUUCGGGUUGUAAACCGCUUUCGCCUGUGACGAAGCGUGAGUGACGGUAAUGGGUAAAGAAGCACCGGCUAACUACGUG